rnacentral:rRNA from 1 species
UGGGGAAUUUUGGACAAUGGCGAAAGCCUGAUCCAGCAAUGCCGCGUGUGUGAAGAAGGCCUUCGGGUUGUAAAGCACUUUUGUCCGGAAAGAAAUCCUUGGCUCUAAUACAGCCGGGGAUGACGGUACCGGAAGAAUAAGCACCGGCUAACUACGUGCCAGCAGCCGCGGUAAUACGUAGGGUGCAAGCGUUAAUCGGAAUUACUGGGCGUAAAGCGUGCGCAGGCGGUUUGCUAAGACCGAUGUGAAAUCCCCGGGCUCAACCCGGGAACUGCAUUGGUGACUGGCAGGCUAGAGUAUGGCAGAGGGGGUAGAAUUCCACGUGUAGCAGUGAAAUGCGUAGAGAUGUGGAGGAACACCGAUGGCGAAGGCAGCCCCCUGGGCCAAUACUGACGCUCAUGCACGAAAGCGUGGGGAGCAAACAGGAUUAGAUACCCUGGUAGUCCACGCCCUAAACGAUGUCAACUGGUUGUCGGGGCCUUCAUUGGCUUGGUAACGUAGCUAACGCGUGAAGUUGACCGCCUGGGGAGUACGUCGC